CCUACGGGCGGCAGCAGUGAGGAAUAUUGGGCAAUGGCCGUAAGGCUGAAGCAGCCAAGUAGCGUGAGGGAAGAAUGCCCUAUGGUUUGUAAACCUCUUUUAUGCGGGGGAAAAGGUGUCCACGUGAGGAGGUUUGCAGGUACCGCAUGAAUAAGGACCGGCUAAGUCCGCGCCAGCAGCGGCGGUAAUACGGAAGGGCCGAGCGUUAUCCGGAUUUAUUGGGUUUAAAGGGAGCGUAGAUGGGUUGUUAAGUCAGUUGUGAAAGUUUGCGACUCAACCGUAAAAUUGCAAUUGAUACUGGCAGUCUUGAGUACAGUUGAGGUAGGUGGAAUUCGUGGUGUAGCGGUGAAAUGCUUAGAUAUCACGAAGAACUCCGAUUGCGAAGGCAGCUUACUAAACUGCCACUGACAUUGAUGCUCGAAAGUGUGGGUAUCAAACAGGAUUAGAUACCCGAGUAGUC
rnacentral:rRNA from 1 species